rnacentral:rRNA from 1 species
ACGUAGGAGGCGAGCGUUAUCCGGAUUUACUGGGCGUAAAGCGCACGUAGGCGGACUCUUAAGUCGGGGGUGAAAUCCUGAGGCUCAACCUCAGAACUGCCCUCGAUACUGGGAGUCUCGAGUCCGGGAGAGGUGAGUGGAACUCCGAGUGUAGAGGUGAAAUUCGUAGAUAUUCGGAAGAACACCAGUGGCGAAGGCGGCUCACUGGCCCGGUACUGACGCUGAGGUGCGAAAGCGUGGGGAGCGAACAG